GACGAACGCUGGCGGCGUGGAUUAGGCAUGCAAGUCGAACGGUAUCAUCCUUUCGGGGGUGAGAGAGUGGCGAACUGGUGAGUAACACGUAGGUUAUCUACCCUCAAGACGGGGACAACCCAGGGAAACUUGGGCUAAUACCGGAUGUGAGCAACUUUUAGUUGUUUGAAAGGUGGCGUAAGCUGUCGCUUGGGGAUGAGCCUGCGUCCUAUUAGUUAGUUGGUGAGGUAACGGCUCACCUAGGCAAUGAUAGGUAGGCGGCCUUAAAACGGGUGGUCGCCCACACUGGGAUUGAGAUACGGCCCAGACUCCUACGGGAGGCAGCAGUCGAGAAUAGUCUACAAUGGUCGGAAGACUGAUAGUGCGACGCCGCGUGAACGAUGAAUCCCUUCGGGGUGUAAAGUUCUUUUAUAUGUGAGCAGUGCUUCUUAUAUUAACAGUAUGGGGAGAGAGAUAUUAGCAUAUGAAUAAGCAACGGCUAACUCCGUGCCAGCAGCCGACGGUAAACU
rnacentral:rRNA from 1 species